rnacentral:rRNA from 1 species
UACGGAGGGGGCUAGCGUUGUUCGGAAUUACUGGGCGUAAAGCGCACGUAGGCGGCUUUGCAAGUUAGAGGUGAAAGCCCGGGAGCUCAACUCCGGAAUUGCCUUUAAAACUGCAUCGCUAGAAUUGUGGAGAGGUAAGUGGAAUUCCGAGUGUAGAGGUGAAAUUCGUAGAUAUUCGGAAGAACACCAGUGGCGAAGGCGACUUACUGGACACAUAUUGACGCUGAGGUGCGAAAGCGUGGGGAGCAAACAGG